rnacentral:rRNA from 1 species
AUUGAACGCUGGCGGCAGGCCUAACACAUGCAAGUCGAGCGGAUGAAGGGAGCUUGCUCCUGGAUUCAGCGGCGGACGGGUGAGUAAUGCCUAGGAAUCUGCCUGGUAGUGGGGGAUAACGUCCGGAAACGGGCGCUAAUACCGCAUACGUCCUGAGGGAGAAAGUGGGGGAUCUUCGGACCUCCCGCUAUCGGAUAAGCCUAGGUCGGAUUAGCUAGUUGGUGGGGUAAAGGCCUACCAAGGCGACGAUCCGUAACUGGUCUGAGAGGAUGAUCAGUCACACUGGAACUGAGACACGGUCCAGACUCCUACGGGAGGCAGCAGUGGGGAAUAUUGGACAAUGGGCGAAAGCCUGAUCCAGCCAUGCCGCGUGUGUGAAGAAGGUCUUCGGAUUGUAAAGCACUUUAAGUUGGGAGGAAGGGCAGUAAGUUAAUACCUUGCUGUUUUGACGUUACCAACAGAAUAAGCACCGGCUAACUUCGUG